rnacentral:tRNA from 1 species
UCCCUGGUAGCUCAGAUGGUAGAGCACCCAUCUGCAAUAAGGGAGACCCAGGCUCAAUCCCUGGUUUGGGAA